rnacentral:rRNA from 1 species
CAUACCACCCUGAACACAUCCAAUCUCGUCUGAUCUCAGAAGCUAGGCAGGGUUGAGCCUGGUUAGUAAAUUGAGAAAUACCAUUCAAAAUACUGGGUU